AAUGUGUGACCAUCCAAAGCAAUUAUUUUUAUUGCUUAACUUGCUAUUUGAAGAUACUUACCACUAAGCAAAGGGGUCUUUUAGGAGCAGGGUGGUGGGGUUGUAUACUGUGCCU